UCAGUCAGUAGCUGUUGUCUUUGCAGCUUCACGUUGUCUACAUGGGAGAUCGACCUCAAGAAGGUGCAUCGGUUGCUUCCAAGCAUCAAGGAAUGUUGCAUAGAGUACUCGGAAGGUUUGUUUCCAAACAUAACAUGAACCUGCUGAUGUUAUGUUAGACUAACAGUAGAAUGAAGUACAGCUAAAGUGACUAUAACCAACUAAAUUAAGUGCAAACUGGCAAGUUCUACUUAAAAAAAAUGCAAUGUAUAAGUUGAAACAAGAUUCCAUCUUCAUCUACCUUACAAAUCGAGAGGAACCUUGAUCCUCGCAAGACUCUCUGUUUCAAUGGAUUCAGUGCUUCAGCAGCUAAAGACUCGUUGGUCCAUAGUUAUGGAAGAAGUUUCAAUGGAUUUGCAGCCAAGCUCACAGACGAGGAAGCCACCAGAAUUUCAGGUGAGCUAAUUCCAAUCUCGGAGCAACGAAUCAACCAAAGAGGUUCCAAUAUAUUCAUUCUAACUAAAUAGAUUGCUGCAGAAAUGGAAGGAGUGGUUUCAGUAAAUCCAAGCCAUAAGCACAAGCUUCAUACUACAAGGUCUUGGGACUUCUUGAAACUUACCAAAGACAAACUUGCAGCAACACCGACAUCAGAUGUCGUUAUAGGCCUCCUUGACACUGGUAACUUACCUGUUUCCAUUUCAAAUGAGGAAUAUAUGAAUAUUUUUUUAUCUCAACUUCUUGCAUCCUCUGCUGUCCAUCCAUAGGAGUCUGGCCAGAGCAUCCAAGUUUCAACGACACAGGUUUCAGUUCUCCACCAGCCAAAUGGAAGGGAACCUGCACAGGCACAAAUUUCACAUGCAACAAGUAAGCAUUCUCAUUUAAAUUUAUCACAAACUUAAUUAGUGAGACAAAGAGGCAAAAAGUAUCACAGGUGAAAUUAUAGAAAAAUGUUUAGCAGGCAGAAAGUAGUAGAGUUUGUACACCAAGAAAUUUUCUUCUUUAGUUCACGAUAUAUAGGAUUGGCUAAUCAGAAUUAUCUUAACAUUAUGAGUGCAGCAAGAUCAUUGGAGCACGGUUUUAUCACAGUGACGACCAGUACUAUGAUGGAGACAUGCCCUCUCCAAGGGAUACAGAAGGACAUGGAACACACACAGCAUCAACUGCUGCCGGGGUUGAGGUAGAAGCAAGCUACUUCGGUGUAGCAGCAGGAAAAGCACGAGGAGGUGUCCC
rnacentral:lncRNA from 1 species